rnacentral:rRNA from 1 species
AUUGAACGCUGGCGGCAGGCCUAACACAUGCAAGUCGAACGGUAACAGGAAGCAGCUUGCUGCUUUGCUGACGAGUGGCGGACGGGUGAGUAAUGUCUGGGAAACUGCCUGAUGGAGGGGGAUAACUACUGGAAACGGUAGCUAAUACCGCAUAACGUCGCAAGACCAAAGAGGGGGACCUUCGGGCCUCUUGCCAUCGGAUGUGCCCAGAUGGGAUUAGCUAGUAGGUGGGGUAACGGCUCACCUAGGCGACGAUCCCUAGCUGGUCUGAGAGGAUGACCAGCCACACUGGAACUGAGACACGGUCCAGACUCCUACGGGGUGCAGCAGUGGAGAAUAUUGCACGAUAGGCGCAAGCCUGAUGCAGCCAUGCCGCGUGUAUGAAGAAGGCCUUCGGGUUGUAAAGUACUUUCAGCGGGGAGGAAGUGAGUUAAGUUAAUACCUUUGCUCAUUGACGUUACCCGCAGAAGAAGCACCGGCUAGCUCCGUG